rnacentral:lncRNA from 1 species
UUCACAACAAUCACAUGAUAUCAUCAUCAACAGAGAGUAAUGUAUGCCUAAUUCAUUCAAAACAUAUUCUCAACUACACCAUGAUUAUUUCCGACAAUUAAUAUUGCCCACCUCAGGAUCAAUGCCACCACUCCCAAGCCACCACACAUACACAACCAGAGCGAAGAUGUCUGAAGAAUCCAUCUGCUCCUUCACUGCAACUUGCUACAAAGUGAUAAGUGUCGUAUGAAGGUAAAUCACAAUUCAAGAUGACAGAUCAAUGAAAACUAAUGAUAAUGUCUUAAUCACGGCAAUACUAGCUUGUGAUAGUCAUAGAAAAGUCUUACUUCAUCCUCGUCGUCAUCAUGAGUGCUAAAAGAAGGCCUAGAUGCCUCUCCAAGCUCAUCGUUCUUCGCUAAUCUAUCUCUCACCCAAGGACGACUAUUUGCUAGAGUUUUGUGACAAGCAUACCGCAUAUAAAAACUACGAUUGAUGAGUUAUUUGCCAAGGCAAAGACGCUGAUUAUACUGAUAUGUGAGAGAGAGAGAGAGAGGACCUUGAUUUAUUGCUAAAUUUCCUUUCAUUCC